rnacentral:pre_miRNA from 1 species
AGUGAAUUGCUGGAUCUUAUGUUAAGAUAUGUUUAGUUUUUUACAAAACCACCAGACUGUCUGCCAAAGUGACUGUACUACUUUGCAUUCCCACUAGCAAU